UUUUCAAAUUCAAUAAGCGGAGGGAAAGAAACCAACCAGGGAUUGCCUUAGUAACGGCGAGUGAAGCGGCAAAAGCUCAAAUUUGAAAUCGGCCACCAGGUCGAGUUGUAAUUUGUAGAUUGUAUCUUGAGAGCGGAUUAAAGUCUGUUGGAACACAGCGCCUUAGAGGGUGACAGCCCCGUAAAAUCUAUUCUCAUUGUAAGAUACUUUCGAAGAGUCGAGUUGUUUGGGAAUGCAGCUCUAAGUGGGAGGUAAAUUCCUUCUAAAGCUAAAUAUUGACGAGAGACCGAUAGCGAACAAGUACUGUGAAGGAAAGAUGAAAAGCACUUUGAAAAGAGAGUGAAAAAGUACGUGAAAUUGUUAAAAGGGAAGGGUAUUGAAUCAGACUUGGUGCUGUUGUUCAACUGUGUUUCGGCAUAGUGUACUCAGCAGUACUAGGCCAAGGUGGGGUGUUUGGGAGUGAAAAAGAAGUUGGAACGUAACUCUUCGGAGUGUUAUAGCCUACUUUCAUAGCUCCUCAGGCGCCUCAGGACUGCGCUUCGGCAAGGACCUUGGCAUAAUGAUUGUAUACUC
rnacentral:rRNA from 1 species